AUGUUCAGCUGGAACGUUCUGAGGACCGUUGGUGCUACCUCAUUCACAGUGAGCGCAGAUGGAGCCGUCACCGCCAUGAUUGGGCUCUUUAAAUUGGGACGGGUAGCGUGUUCCACCACCAUGGACCAGCAAUGGCGGCUCUCGACAUGGCGCAUAUCAAAUGGUUGGAGGCCACUGUCAUUCCAAGGCAAGAUGUACACCUUGCACACUCCCACAAAUGGCAGCGAGCUUCAGAUUUUCCAGAUUGACUUGCCGGGGCACGGGGAGAAGGAGGACUUUGAUAGAAUUUUGUGUUAUCUACCGGCACCUAAGUUGAUUGCCACAUGUCUGGCAGGCAAACCUCAGAAGCCUUAUUACUACCUCGCAGAAUGUGAUUCGGAGAUCCUGGUGAUCGGCCGUUACCUUUCUGGUUCACUCGACGUUGAGGUUUACAGACUAUCUGACAUUAUCCUAGACAGGAUUGCCCCAGUAACGAGCAUCGGAGGAAAUGCUCUCUUUGUUGAAGAAAGGGUCUUGAGUGUCAGCAGUAGAGUGCACCCCACCAUUGUGGGCGACUCUGUUGUACAUCUCCAUAACAAGGAAAUUUAUCUUGGGCAUUACCACCUUGCCACUGGGACAUGGUUGCCAACAGCGGAUGGGUGUGUCAUACGUGGUGUACCGAGUCCUUGUAGCCUCAUCUACCAUAUCUUCACCUGUUGCUAUCGUCCCACUUGGAACAAAGGGGGGCUUCUUUAUCAGGGUAAUGUGCAACCUAGUUGGAAAGUGAAGAGAAAAUGGCGUGAGGGGGUGAGUAUGAUCUGGAAUACCUCAAUGGUCGCAAACUUAUAA
rnacentral:rRNA from 1 species